AGAGUUUGAUCAUGGCUCAGGAUGAACGCUGGCGGCGUGCCUAAUACAUGCAAGUAGAACGCUGAAGCUUGGUGCUUGCACCGAGCGGAUGAGUUGCGAACGGGUGAGUAACGCGUAGGUAACCUGCCUGGUAGCGGGGGAUAACUAUUGGAAACGAUAGCUAAUACCGCAUAACAGUAGAUAUUGCAUGAUGUCUACUUGAAAGGUGCAAUUGCAUCACUACCAGAUGGACCUGCGUUGUAUUAGCUAGUUGGUGAGGUAACGGCUCACCAAGGCGACGAUACAUAGCCGACCUGAGAGGGUGAUCGGCCACACUGGGACUGAGACACGGCCCAGACUCCUACGGGAGGCAGCAGUAGGGAAUCUUCGGCAAUGGACGGAAGUCUGACCGAGCAACGCCGCGUGAGUGAAGAAGGUUUUCGGAUCGUAAAGCUCUGUUGUAAGAGAAGAACGAGUGUGAGAGUGGAAAGUUCACACUGUGACGGUAUCUUACCAGAAAGGGACGGCUAACUACGUGCCAGCAGCCGCGGUAAUACGUAGGUCCCGAGCGUUAUCCGGAUUUAUUGGGCGUAAAGCGAGCGCAGGCGGUUAGAUAAGUCUGAAGUUAAAGGCUGUGGCUUAACCAUAGUACGCUUUGGAAACUGUUUAACUUGAGUGCAGAAGGGGAGAGUGGAAUUCCAUGUGUAGCGGUGAAAUGCGUAGAUAUAUGGAGGAACACCGGUGGCGAAAGCGGCUCUCUGGUCUGUAACUGACGCUGANGCUCGAAAGCGUGGGGAGCAAACAGGAUUAGAUACUCUGGUAGUCCACGCCGUAAACGAUGAGUGCUAGGUGUUGGG
rnacentral:rRNA from 1 species